ensembl:lncRNA
CUGAGAUUGAGAUUUAUAAGCAGUAAUUUUAUCAGGGAUGCUCUUACAUGUAAGGAAGUGAGGGUGCCAGUACAGGGCAGAAGGAUAAGUUGAAUUAUGAUAAAUUAUAAUAAAGGUAUUAAUCAACUCCAAUCUCACAUGGAAUCUAGAACUAGAAAGAGCCUUCAAGGAUUGUCUCAAAUUAUUGCAAAUGGGUUGAACUUUUGAGAUUUCUAAUUUAUUAUUCAUUCCAUACAGGCUGUCCCCAGCAAAAUCAAUUCCCACAUGGUGAUGCAGCUAAGAAUCAUCAGUAGCCAUUACUCCUAGAAGCUCAUGGAAUUUGAAAGUUUCCAAGAGCAAUUUGUCAUGUCUGACUUUCCAGGCUUUUGUAAAUGGAGGUUUACUGGCUACAUCAAGAUAAAGAUGAAAUGUAUCUCAAUAAAUGCAUGAUGGAUGACAGUGAGUACAUAUGUGUGUAAUUGUAGGUAAUACGUAUGUAAAUAUAUAUGUGUUUAUGUGUUUAUAUAUUAAAUAAAUAGAUACCUCAUGUAAUAAUUGAUUUUUUA